rnacentral:rRNA from 1 species
GAUGAACGCUGGCGGCGUGCCUAAUACAUGCAAGUCGAGCGAACAGACGAGGAGCUUGCUCCUCUGAUGUUAGCGGCGGACGGGUGAGUAACACGUGGAUAACCUACCUAUAAGACUGGGAUAACUUCGGGAAACCGGAGCUAAUACCGGAUAACAUGUUGAACCGCAUGGUUCAACAGUGAAAGACGGUCUUGCUGUCACUUAUAGAUGGAUCCGCGCCGCAUUAGCUAGUUGGUAAGGUAACGGCUUACCAAGGCAACGAUGCGUAGCCGACCUGAGAGGGUGAUAGGCCAAACUGGAACUGAGACACGGUCCAGACUCCUACGGGAGGCAGCAGUAGGGAAUCUUCCGCAAUGGGCGAAAGCCUGACGGAGCAACGCCGCGUGAGUGAAGAAGGUCUUCGGAUCGUAAAACUCUGUUAUUAGGGAAGAACAAAUGUGUAAGUAACUAUGCACGUCUUGACGGUACCUAAUCAGAAAGCCACGGCUAACUACGUG